rnacentral:tRNA from 1 species
GCCUUCUUGGCUCAGUUGGCAGAGCGUCUGCCUAGUACGAAAUAUGCUAGCAGAAGGUCGCCAGUUCGAUUCUGGCAGAAGGCA